GCUGAACAGACAAGAGGCGCCCCAGAGCCGCGCUCACCUGCGGAGCCUCCGCGCAUCCCCCGAGCCCGCGGAGCGGCCGCGCACCUGCGGAGCCCUGCGGAGCCCUGCGGAGCGGAGCGGGGCGCGGCGCAGCCUCUCCCCGCUGAGGGGAGCCCCAGCCCCGCCGGGGGAGGCUCGGCUCGGCUCCGGCACCUCGCGGGGUGGGGAGAGAGAGGCGCUGCCCGCCCCCCCGGGGCUUCCCCGCUAAGUGUGACGGAGCCGCCGCCUCCCGGCGCAGCGCAGCGGCCCCGGCGCAGGAGGAGGCGCCGUGCGCGGCCCGAGUCCCCGGGCGCUGCCGCCGGUGAGGGGACAGCGCCGGCUCCGCGCUCCCGGCGGCUCCGCUCCGCUCGCCGGCUCAGGUCUUGCAUGCUGUGACACAAAGAUCUCCUCGCCUGGAGCGCUAUGUUCAUGUUUUGAAAUCAAGAUUGAUUAGCCAACAGGAGAAGACCCAGCUGGUUAUGUGACUCAGAACCCUGUUCAUGAGGCACUUGCUUGUUUUUACAAGACAACUGUAAGUUGCUUCUUUUUCUUUUCCUCCCUCAAAUGAAAAAUCUACUGUUGUAACUUCAUAGAAAUUCUGGAACAUUCUUGAGGAAUUCACUUUUUUGGUAAAGACAAUCUUGAAUUUUGGCUUGGUGAUGCCGGCCAAGGACCAGACGUGCUCUAUUCACUUUACCAGAGAUUUUUUUCCCCACGUUGUGAUGGUUUUACAUUUCUUAAUUGUUUAAGGAGAGGUUCCCUUGGCUAGGAAGAUCAAUCUGCUGUCUCUGUACGUUGUGCUGUGUGACAUUUGGGAUCAGGGAAUGUGACAAACUGUUUGGAGUGCACUGCUGAUGGGUUGUGCCAGGAGAUGCCGA
rnacentral:lncRNA from 1 species